GCUCGACCGCCUAGCGUCUCAGGGAGAUAGAAGCAGGGGCGUCAGAUCCGGGCGCUACUCAAGCAGUAGCUGGUGUGAGAGGCGACGCGGCGGCGAGCAUCCGGAGCGGCGAGCCACGGCGACGGCGGCUGGAUCAAACUAAGAGAAUCGACAACGACGCUCUGCCACGCAGAGCCUCAACAAUGGAUAAUGCAAAGUCUAUUGAUGGAUCAUUCUCAACACGGGUUUCAACAAGCCGCUUGGGUACAGUUGCUAAGAAAAAUCUGGGCGAUAAUAAGAGGGCAAUCUUAAUUGGUUGCUGCUCCAAGAGUGGACCAGCAGCUGCUGCGACAGCCUGAGGCCUGCUGCUAAGCCAGGGGUGUGUAGGAUGGGCGGCCGUUGUGACGGGGGACCAAUGAUCCUGCUAGGGGCUGCCGACCGGCUGCUGCGAACCGCCCGGGGAUGCUGCGACUGGUGCGCGAAUGGGACACGUGGUGGCCGAGCUUAUUGUUGGUUCCUAUGACGCUCAGUAGUAAGCGAGGUGGGCGAGACUUGAAGCAUCACCGGGCUGCUGGAACAUCAUUGUUGCUGCAAUGGAGCAUUCGCUGGGCCACGGGAACGUUGCCGGGCCGUCGGAGCAUCACUGGUGCUGUGAUGGAGCAUCGUCGGGACGUUGGAAAAUCGGUGGUGCUGCAACAGAGCAUCUUCGGCCAUCCGAGCAUUGCCGGUGCUGCGGUGGAGCAUCGCCGAGCCAUCGGAGGAUCGUCGGAGCUUUGCUGGUGCUGUGAUGGAGCAUCGCCGAGCCGUCAGAGGAUCAUCGGAGCAUUGCCGGUGCUGCGAUGGACCAUCCCUGAGCCGCGGGAGGAUUGUCGGAGCAUCGCCGGCGCUGUGAUGGAGCAUCGCCGAGCCGCCGGAGGAUCGUCGGAGCAUCACCGCUGCUGCGAUGGAGCAUCACCGAGCCGCCGGAGGAUCGUCGGAGCAUCACCGCUGCUGCGAUGGAGCAUCGCCGAGCCGUCAGAGGAUCAUCGGAGCAUUGCCGGUGCUGCGAUGGACCAUCGUUGAGACGCGGGAGGAUCGUCGGAGCAUCGCCGGCGCUGUGAUGGAGCAUCGCCGAGCCGCCGGAGGAUCGUCGGAGCAUCACCGCUGCCGCGAUGGAGCAUCGCCGAGCCGCCGGAGGAUCGUCGGUGCUGCGAUGGAGCAUCACCGAGCCGCCGGAGGAUCGUCGGAGCAUCACCGCUGCUGCGAUGGAGCAUCGCUGAGCCGUGGGAGGAUCGUCGGAGCAUCGCUGGCGCUGUGAUGGAGCAUCACCGAGCCGCCGGAGGAUCGUCGGAGCAUCACCGCUGCUGCGAUGGAGCAUCGCCGAGCUGCCGGAGGAUCGUCGAAGCAUUGUCGGUGCUGCGAUGGAGCAUCACCGAGCCGCCGAAGGAUCGUCGGAGCAUCACCGCUGCUGCGAUGGAGCAUCACCGAGCCGCCGGAGGAUCGUCGGAGCAUCACCGCUGCUGCGAUGGAGCAUCACCGAGCCGCCGGAGGAUCGUCGGAGCAUCACCGCUGCUGGGAUGGAGCAUCACCGAGCCGCCGGAGGAUCGUCGGAGCAUCACCGCUGCUGCGAUGGAGCAUCAUCGAGCCGCCGAAGGAUCGUCGGAGCAUCACCGUUGCUGUGAUGGAGCAUCACCGAGCCGCCGAAGGAUCGUCGGAGCAUCACCGCUGCUGCGAUGGAGCAUCGCCGAGCUGCCGGAGGAUUGUCGGAGCAUUACCAAGACACUGGAGGAUCCUCGGUGCUAUAGUGGAGCAUCGCCUGGCCGUCGGAAGCAUCGCUGGCGCUGGAAUGACACAUCGUCGGGCCGCUGGAGCUGCAGAGCAUCAUGGGUGGAGCAAUGAAGCAUGACCGAUGCUUCAAGGAAUUACACGCGCGGCACCGGGGAAGCAGUAGCAUGGAGCUUGUACAGGCUACAGCUGAUGCUCUGUUGGUGGCUGGAGGUGUCGCGCGGAGACACGGCAGUGAUGCUGGUGAAAGUUGGGAUGGAAGUGAUGGCGUGGUUCUUUCAGGGAAUCAAGCAACCCAAUUCAGAUUUAUUGACGCAAAUCAACGACUUGCUAGGCGGCUUAUCUUUUUCUAAGAUCAGUCGGCUGACGCCUAGCAGCGGCCUUUACUUAUUCCUACUACUACUACUUGAACUAGAGUUCCUAGUUUAACUCGGACAAGUACUAAAAUAAUUUAUUUAUUUUCAAACGGAACAAGUACUAAAAUAAUUGAUGACUCCCAA